AGGAUAUCUCUGUCGUCGCUGGAAUUGAGGCGAGGGGUUUCAUUUUUGGCCCUCCGAUAGCUCUGGCUAUUGGUGCAAAAUUUGUUCCCAUGAGAAAACCCAAGAAGUUGCCUGGUGAAGUCAUUUCAGAAGAGUACUCUUUAGAGUAUGGAACCGAUAAAAUAGAGAUGCAUGUAGGAGCUGUUGAAGCUGGGGAACGUGCUCUUGUGAUAGAUGAUCUCAUUGCAACUGGGGGAACCUUGUCUGCAGCAAUAAGGCUACUUGAGCGAGUUGGCGUUGAUGUGGUCGAGUGUGCAUGUGUGAUUGAGCUGGACGGACUAAAGGGCCGUGAACAAUUGGGAGGCAGACCUCUAUUCGUUCUAGUUAAUGCAGCAGGAUGAUCGUAGAGCCUUCAUAUGCAAUAUGCCAUGUUUGGAAAUGGUGAUACUAAGAUUGUAUCACUGCUAGAAGUUGAAGUUUCCAAGUAGUGCAUAAUUUUGAAGCGGAGUCUGGCUAGAAAUAAAGGGGUUGGUAUUUAUUUGAGAGUUGAAGAGGUUUAAACAAAAAGAAGAAGAAAG
rnacentral:misc_RNA from 1 species